rnacentral:lncRNA from 1 species
AACAAUGGAGGAAUCCCAAAGGGUAACCCUAGCCGCCUGGCUGUUGGGUGGGGAUAACCAUACAUUAAUGAACACUAAUACCAACAGACCAUAGUUAAUGACAAAUUGAAAAAAUUAAACGGUCACUUGGUGGGAUUUAAUUGUCUGUUUUAAAAAAAGAAUAAAUAAAAGAAGAAAAAGAGAGUGAUAACACAUUGCCGAACCCAGAAAUCAUUCAUCGUCCUCACUCCCUCAAUCUCACUCACCCUAGUUCAAUCUCUCUCACUCUCGAUAUCAUUUGAACUCUCAAUCUCUCGUCAUCUCUCACUCGCUUGCACCAACCUCACAAUACCCUAC